rnacentral:rRNA from 1 species
GACGAACGCUGGCGGCGUGCCUAAUACAUGCCAGUAGAACGCACAGUUUAUACCGUAGCUUGCUACACCAUAGACUGUGAGUUGCGAACGGGUGAGUAACGCGUAGGUAACCUGCCUGGUAGCGGGGGAUAACUAUUGGAAACGAUAGCUAAUACCGCAUAAUAUUAAUUAUUGCAUGAUAAUUAAUUGAAAGGUGCAAUUGCACCACUACCAGAUGGACCUGCGUUGUAUUAGCUAGUAGGUGAGGUAACGGCUCACCUAGGCGACGAUACAUAGCCGACCUGGGAGGGUGAUCGGCCACACUGGGACUGAGACACGGCCCAGACUCCUACGGGAGGCAGCAGUAGGGAAUCUUCGGCAAUGGACGAAAGUCUGACCGAGCAACGCCGCGUGAGUGAAGAAGGGUUUCGGAUCGUAAAGCUCUGUUGUAAGAGAAGAACGGGUGUGAGAGUGGAAAGUUCACACUGUGACGGUAUCUUACCAGAAAGGGACGGCUAACUACGUG